rnacentral:rRNA from 1 species
AGUGAACGCUGGCGGUAGGCCUAACACAUGCAAGUCGAACGGCAGCACAGUAAGAGCUUGCUCUUACGGGUGGCGAGUGGCGGACGGGUGAGGAAUACAUCGGAAUCUACUUUUUCGUGGGGGAUAACGUAGGGAAACUUACGCUAAUACCGCAUACGACCUACGGGUGAAAGCAGGGGAUCUUCGGACCUUGCGCGAUUGAAUUAGCCGAUGUCGGAUUAGCUAGUUGGCGGGGUAAAGGCCCACCAAGGCGACGAUCCGUAGCUGGUCUGAGAGGAUGAUCAGCCACACUGGAACUGAGACACGGUCCAGACUCCUACGGGAGGCAGCAGUGGGGAAUAUUGGACAAUGGGCGCAAGCCUGAUCCAGCCAUACCGCGUGGGUGAAGAAGGCCUUCGGGUUGUAAAGCCCUGUUGUUGGGAAAGAAAAGCAGCAGGUUAAUACCCCGAUGUUCUGACGGUACCCAAAGAAUAAGCAACGGCUAACUUCGUG